UACAGAGGUCCCAAGCGUUGUUCGGAUUCAUUGGGCGUAAAGGGUGCGUAGGCGGCACGGUUAGUCGGGUGUGAAAUCUCGGGGCUUAACUCCGAAACUGCAUUCGAUACUGCCGUGCUUGAGGACUGGAGAGGAGACUGGAAUUUACGGUGUAGCGGUGAAAUGCGUAGAUAUCGGAAGGAACGCCGGUGGCGAAAGCGAGCUGCUGGAUCCCUCCUGACGCUGAUGCGCGAAAGCCAGGGGAGCGAACGGG
rnacentral:rRNA from 1 species